GGUCGGAUAGCUCAGUCGGUUGGAGCAUGGUGCUAAUAACGCUAAGGUGAUGGCUUCGAUCCCCACUCUGACCA
rnacentral:tRNA from 1 species